GGUUUUUGAUCAGGAAGGAGCAGAAGUAGGGUUUUUCCGAUUCUCCAAGUCACUCCUUGAAUCAAAAUUAGUAAUCAGUAGUUAGAAGAAGAAGAAGAAGAAGAAGAAGAAGAGAUGGGUGUGCAGAGGAAGGGCGGAACUAGGGUCACUGAGGAACCAGAGGAAUUAGCUCGACACCCAUUGCAAGCCAUCUUAUUGGCUGAUAGCUUCACCACCAAGUUCCGUCCCAUCACCCUCGAACGCCCCAAAGUGCUAUUGCCUUUGGUGAAUGUGCCCAUGAUUAACUAUACUCUGGCAUGGCUCGAAUCCGCUGGAGUUGAAGAGGUUUUCGUGUUCUGCUGUGCGCAUUCUCGACAAGUGAUCGAUUAUUUGGAGAAGUCGGAAUGGUUUUCGCAGCCCAAUUUCACUGUCACAACAAUUGAGUCGCAUAAUUCUAUUAGUGCUGGAGAUGCUUUGCGUUUGAUUUAUGAACGCAACGUGAUACACGAGGAUUUUGUCCUUGUUAGUGGGGAUACUGUAAGCAACAUGUCGCUCACACAGGCAAUUCAAGAACACAAGGAGAGAAGGAAAAAAGACAGUAACGCAGUAAUGACUAUGGUUAUUAAACAGUCAAAGCCAUCUCCAAUCACCCACCAGUCACGGCUUGGUACCGAUGAAUUAUUUAUGGCAAUAGAUCCUCAAACAAAACAGCUUCUGUAUUAUGAGGAAAAGGCUGACCACAUAAAAGGGUUCAUAUCUCUUGAUAAUAUGUUGCUUGCUGAUAAUCCUUCUAUUUGUCUGCAUAAUGACAAGCAGGAUUGCUAUAUUGACAUCUGCUCUUCAGAAGUUCUGAGCCUUUUCACAGACAAUUUUGAUUAUCAACACCUUCGCCGUCAUUUUGUGAAGGGAUUACUGGUUGAUGAUAUUAUGG
rnacentral:misc_RNA from 1 species